UCCACACCACAGCAGCCUAGUCCUGAAUCCACACCACAGCAGCCUAGCCCUGAAUCCACACCACAGCAUUCCAGCCUUGAAACCACCUCCCGGCAGCCAGCAUUCCAAGCCCUUCCAGCACCCGAAAUCCGCCGCUCCUCUUGCUGCCUUUUAUCUCCAGAUGCUAACGUGAAGGCAGCCCCUCAAUCCAGGAAAGCAGGGCCUCUGAUUCGCGCCGGCCCGCAUUCCUGCUCCUGUGCCACUUGCCCCUGCAGCUCCGCUUGCUGGCGUCGUCUGGGGCUAUGCCAUAGCCGCAUCUUCGAUGUCCUUCUGCCUCGGGACUGGCAGAUGGCGCCAGGGAGAGGACUCCCCAACCUGCUCACCUUCUACAGAAAAUCUUCAAGAAAACCCUCCAGUCAUCGUAACGCGUGUCCUCCAAGCCCUCGGAACUGUGGCUGUGGCUCUGGGGGCUCUAGGAGCUGCCUACUACAUCACUGAAUCCUUGUGAACAAGCCCCUAGGCCCACAGUCUGGCAGAUCCAGUUUCCAUCAAAGGGACCUCUCUUGUCACCAAAAUUUAAA
rnacentral:lncRNA from 1 species